rnacentral:lncRNA from 1 species
AUGUUCUGCUCCUCACAUGAAAAAAAAAAAAGAAAGAAAAAGAAAAAAGAAAAAAAAAAAAGUGUUUGUUUAAUCUUUAGCUUUGGUUUGCAAAUUAGAAGUCACAAAGAAAACUACAUUUUUUAUUUUGUGUGUGUGUGUGUGUGUGGAACUUACCUGGCAGAGAAGUGCAAGAGUACAUAUCAUAAAUUUUCUUGCUGGAAAUAUGUGGGUGUAAAGGUUAAUGGCAUGCAGCAGCACUCUGAGUUCUGGGAAGAAAGGUCUGAGACUCAGCUCGCUGCAAUUCAGAGCAGCUGUGGGCCGUAUGGCCCAGGUCAGGGCUCAGAAGGCAAAUCGGCUCGGCACUGACAGGAGCAGUAUGCGAAGAGUUCAUCACUCGCUACGUGUUUUCUCCUCUUCCGUUAUUCAGUACUUGAUGUCUAAAAAGCAGUGAGAUGCAACUGACUUUCCUGCUAAUUUCAGACAAAGUAGUGUGUGAAAAGAACUUGUGGUCAUCAUCUGCCCCAUCUUCUGCUUCAAGGAAAACUCUUCUGAUACUAAAUGAGACCAGCAAUGGCUUUGUCUAGGCCAGUCUGGAAAGCCUCUGAAGAUGAAGGUCCCGUUGCCUCUCAGUAGUAACUGCGAGGUAACACAACUAGGAAGAGGAGCUGACCAUUGGCUUUCCUUUUUCACAAGUUUACUGCUUGGUAGGACUGCAAACUUCAAAAGUGAGACUUGAGUAAACUGUCUUUCAAAUCAUGGAGCCAAUUUUGCAGCAGUUAACCUUGUUGAUGCAAAAUAAAUAACGCUGUAGCGUGUUGUGUGGUUUUUGU